CCUACGGGAGGCAGCAGUGGGGAAUAUUGCACAAUGGGGGGAACCCUGAUGCAGCGACGCCGCGGGGGUGCAGGAGUAUUUCGGUAUGUAAAGCCCUAUCCGCAGGGAAGAACAAUGACGGUACCUGACUAAGAAGCACCGGCUAAAUACGUGCCAGCAGCCGCGGUAAUACGUAUGGUGCAAGCGUUAUCCGGAUUUACUGGGGGUAAAGGGAGCGCAGGCGGCGCGUUAAGCCUGGUGUGAAAGUCCGCGGCCCAACCGCGGGACUGCAUUGGGAACUGGCGCGCUGGAGUGCCGGAGGGGUAGGCGGAAUUCCUAGUGUAGCGGUGAAAUGCGUAGAUAUUAGGAGGAACACCAGGGGCGAAGGCGGCCUACUGGACGGUGACUGACGCUGAGGCUCGAAAGCGUGGGGAGCAAACAGGAUUAGAUACCCCAGUAGUC
rnacentral:rRNA from 1 species